ACUGCUAUCGGGGUGGGACUAAGACAUGCAAGUUGAGCGUCUCUAGGCUAUGGUAGAGACGCGGCAUACGGCUCAGUAGCACGUGGCCAACCUACCCUUAGGACGGGGACAACCCCGGGAAACUGGGACUAAUAUCCGAUAGAUUAGGAGGCCUGGAAUGGUUCUUAGUCGAAAGGGCUUUGAAACCAUGCUUUUCAACGUCGCCUAAGGAUGGGGCCGCGCCCGAUCAGGCUGUUGGUGGGGUAAUGGCUCACCAAACCUAUAACCGGUGCGGGCCGUGAGAGCGGGAGCCCGGAGAUGGGCACUGAGAUAAGGGCCCAGGCCCUACGGGGCGCAGCAGUCGCGAAAACUCCGCAAUGCGCGAAAGCGUGACGGGGCUACCCCGAGUGCCGUCCGCUGAGGAUGGCUUUUCCCCGGUGUAAUGAGCCGGGGGAAUAAGGAGAGGGCAAGUCUGGUGUCAGCCGCCGCGGUAAUACCAGCUCUCCGAGUGGUAGGGACGAUUAUUGGGCUUAAAGCGUCCGUAGCCGGCUUAGCAAGUCUCCUGUUAAAUUAAGCGACCUAAUCGUUGAGCCGCGGGAGAUACUACUAGGCUAGGAGGCGGGAGGGGCCGACGGUAUUCUCGGGGUAGGGGUGAAAUCCUAUAAUCCCGGGAGGACCACCAGUGGCGAAGGCUGUCGGCUAGAACGCGCUCGACGGUGAGGGACGAAAGCUGGGGGAGCGAACCGGAUUAGAUACCCGGGUAGUCCCAGCUGUAAACGAUGCGGGCUAGGUGUUGGGGUGGCUACGAGCCACUUCAGUGCCGCAGGGAAGCCAUUAAGCCCGCCGCCUGGGGAGUACGGCCGCAAGGCUGAAACUUAAAGGAAUUGGGCGGGGGAGCACCACAAGGCGUGAGG
rnacentral:rRNA from 1 species